rnacentral:lncRNA from 1 species
UAAACAUGUAAUCAUCAUUCAAGCCACUAUCUAAUACAGCAUGUUGGGAUGGAAGGAUUUUGUUUCACUCAGGCAUUCCCAGUUCCACCUUCCUUUCAUUUUGUGGAUUAGUCCUCCUGUAGGCCUUGCACAGGUGAAGAUCCUGGCUGUAUCUACUUAAUUCGACAGGCAACGGGGAGCUUUCGAAUAUUUGUGUGCAGAAGGCUGGAGGUCACAGAUGUAUGAUAUACUUAGUAAGUGCUGGGAGAAGAAAGAAAGGAGAUCUAUCAGAAAGGAGCGAACAAGGGAAGGAGGAAACAGAUCUACUCCACUACGCUAGCACGCAGAGGAGGAUGGAGAACGCAUCCAGGGAUUUAUUGCCCAAAAUGAUGCUCAAGACCCCUCACAUCAGCAGAAGAACAAAACAUAGGUGGUACAGACUGGACAUAAUUGUCAAGAGGAAGAAAGAAGAGAAGGAAUAGAAUCACACCAGAGAGGUAAGUGAUAGUGAAAAACAAGAGACAAAGAGAUUUAGAAAGCAGAAGGUGAGUAGCGCUGAGCUCCAACUAGGAAGCAUCAUCCAUAGUCCAAGAACCUCAGGCUAGAUUAGAGACAGUGCUAUAACCCUAAGUGCCCUAGAGGGCUCCCUAGCUUUUCUUCCCUCCAGGUAAUAGAAUAAAGCUUUGUUUUUUUCUGUGUAGAGCUCUAGUUUUCGUUAUAUUAUCAACUACUUUAGGGAAACACUUGGAGACAGGCAUCAUGUAGUACUUAUAAUUCAGAUGUUGGAAAGUCCAGCGACGGCCCAACUUAUACUGAAUUUCUCAGAAGAGGAAUAAUUUAUUGUAAGAUUUUUGUUUAAUUUUCAAAGAGGCCUAUAAAUAUGAGAAAUAUUUGAUAAUAGAAUUGUAGAAUUGGAAGGGAAAUUUACUACAACAGCCGUUUAUAUUACAGAUAAAUUGAUCGAGGUCCAGAAGUGUCCAGAAGUACCUAUAACUAUUUAGUUAUAGGUACUUAUAAAACUCAAGUCUCCAAACCCCAAUCUCAGUGUUUUUCUUGUAGCAAACAAGUUUCAUCCUCAAAUUUGCAUUCUUGAACACAUGUUUUCGCGUCCGUCAAGUACACAAACAUGAAUUCUUGCUCAACCAUCCAAUUAUCUAAUCUGCUCCCUUUACUCAGGAUAAAGACUUGCUGGCAGAGGCUAUGAGGGUCUGCUCAAUGCUCAUGUCAGUCAUUCUACAGUAGCUUCAGCUGCCUCAAACUUACAAGUGACAGUCUGUAAUACAGCACUGUUCAAACCCACCAGAGAAAUGACGCAUUAAGGAUGCAAACUGGAAUGACAACAUGAAAUUACAGUUAACAUUUAGUGACUAUAUAUGCAUAUUACAAUAACUCAGUAUUUCAAAAGUAGGUGUUUAUCUGAUGUUUCUGUCAUGUUAAUAAACAAU